CGGGGUUUCGUACGUAGCAGAGCAG
rnacentral:piRNA from 8 species